CCCAUUUAAGGGCUGGGAAGCUCAGGGGCUGCAUCCAAACCUGGGGAGUGCUGCCUUGGGAGUGUGGGUGAGCCCUGCUCCUUGGGAGGGGGUGGGAGAUCUGUUCUCUGUUGCAGGGCUGUGAUCUCUUCUUUUCUGGGGGAUCCUGACUGUGUUGAAGGGCUGGCAGCUAUCUGCACCUGGAAGCUGCUUCCUUUGAGCAUGGUGAAUAUUGGCCCUUGGAAUGGGGUAAGUGGUUCCAUUUGUAUUUCAGGGUUGUGAUCUCCCCUUCUGGGGGUUCCUUACCUCAUUUAACCGCUGGUACCUGUAAGGGCAGCACCUGAAUCUGGAGACUGCUUUCUCUGGGGGGUGGGGUGAGCCCUCAGGAUGGAGUGAUUCCUGCUUUAUUUCAGAGCUGUGAGCUCUGCCUUUCUGGGGGAUCUCAAGCUGGGUCAGAGCAGCUGUAUCUGCUAUGUGUGUUGUUUCUUCUUUAAUGGUUCUCAUCUCAUAACUUCCAGUCUGGGGCCCUAAAUGUGGUUCAUCUGCUCCCACGUCAUCCCACUUCAUGGCUGUAAUUCAUAGUGUUGUUAGUUGCAUUCAUGCAGAAUUUUUUAAGGGCAUUCUGUGCAUUAUUAUCAUGUAUUAAAUUAUGUUCUGCAUCUUUUCUGACUUCAGUUUGCUACCUGAUGGGGUUCAAGGAUUGCCUCGGCUCCUCCAGUCAGUGGUGUGAGAUCAGUGCAGCAGGGACUUCACCUGGCUGCCACGACUUCUGAAAUACCAUUGAGAGUGGCUCGGUGUCUGCAGGGGUAAAUUCCAUCAGAGCUCUGGGACCCAUCUUGUCAGAACGGAGAGGCUCCUGGAGGUUCGGGUCCUCAGGUGGCAGGGGAGCUGUGGUGCUCCUGAAUGCCGUAACGACUGCAUGGAGAUGUGUGGGUCUUCAUGGGAACAGCAAGGAACCUGAAUCUGCAUUUCCUGAAAUGCCCCGGAACCUCGCUUUGCUGGCUGGUAAUUGUCUGCCCAGCAGGUGAAGAUGCCUUCGACGCUUCCAGUCAAUGACUUCCCCCCUGCGACGCCAUUGGCUUUCCAGGCCUCCCACACUCACCGCCAGCUCGGUUCGGUCAACCGUUACCCGAAUCCCCGCUCCGUUCCCUUUCCAUGAUCUUCCUGUCACUCUGCCACAAGCCCCUACCAAGGUCAUCGCAGGCAGCGUGUGGGAUGCGGCGCUCGGUCUCAUUGCAGUUCAUCCCAUGGGCCUCAGCCCAGCGA